rnacentral:lncRNA from 1 species
CAAAGUUGUUGAACGCAGCAUGACGGUGUAGAGCGGGAAAAUCAGUCAAAGGGGAUUCACCGUCCUGUGCUGCAAUGGAGGAGAAGGUACCGACUUUUGAGCCAUACAAUACAUGUAUUGCAGUCCUGAAGCUGACCUGUUCAGAUACCAGAGGUUUUUCUAAAAAACAUGAUGACACCAGGUGGAAUGAUGCAUGGCAAGAUAGGUAAUUAAAUGACAAACAAGAGUUAUCAGUAUGCUAAAUAGAUGCCAUGCACCCACAUGAAGAUACUACAGUAAGGUAAAUCUAUGCAUAUGACUAAUUGCAAAUACUGUGUUAAAUACAUAUAGAAAAUCAGCACAUUGAAGGUGUUUAUUUUUUUCUGCAUUUACUCUAGGUGAAUCGCGAGCAGACAGUUGCUUCUCCAGUAUGUCCCUUUCUUCCACUGAAGAACUGUUUUUAAAAAAACAAGGACGAUGUGCAACUUUGGGUAAGUUAGUCAUUACAGAAACCUGAAGGACCAAUGAGAUUUAUGUUUAUUUGUGUACUAUAUAAAAUACAGCCAUUUUAAUGUUUAUUCAAUGUUAGUCUGCUAUCUGGGGAGUGAUAUAUGCAGAAUUAUCAUUCUUAAUAAACCUGAAAGUAAUAUGUCUUAAUAUCUCA